GGAUAACUACUGGAAACGGUAGCUAAUACCGCAUAACGUCGCAAGACCAAAGAGGGGGACCUUCGGGCCUCUUGCCAUCGGAUGUGCCCAGAUGGGAUUAGCUUGUUGGUGGGGUAACGGCUCACCAAGGCGACGAUCCCUAGCUGGUCUGAGAGGAUGACCAGCCACACUGGAACUGAGACACGGUCCAGACUCCUACGGGAGGCAGCAGUGGGGAAUAUUGCACAAUGGGCGCAAGCCUGGUGCAGCCAUGCCGCGUGUAUGAAGAAGGCCUUCGGGUUGUAAAGUACUUUCAGCGGGGAGGAAGGGAGUAAAGUUAAUACCUUUACUCAUUGACGUUACCCGCAGAAGAAGCACCGGCUAACUCCGUGCCAGCAGCUGCGGUAAUACGGAGGGUGCAAGCGUUAAUCGGAAUUACUGGGCGUAAAGCGCACGCAGGCGGUUUGUUAAGUCAGAUGUGAAAUCCCCGGGCUCAACCUGGGAACUGCAUCUGAUACUGGCAAGCUUGAGUCUCGUAGAGGGGGGUAGAAUUCCAGGUGUAGCGGUGAAAUGCGUAGAGAUCUGGAGGAAUACCGGUGGCGAAGGCGGCCCCCUGGACGAAGACUGACGCUCAGGUGCGAAAGCGUGGGGAGCAAACAGGAUUAGAUACCCUGGUAGUCCACGCCGUAAACGAUGUCGACUUGGAGGUUGUGCCCUUGAGGCGUGGCUUCCGGAG
rnacentral:rRNA from 1 species